CAAAGAAUAUAGCGCCAAAUCAAUUUCACGUUCCUGUUUUUUGUUUAAUUGGCCAAAACUCAUUUUUUAUUUUCAUUUUUUUCUUUAUCUAAUUCCCCCCUCCCCCAAAUCCCUCUGAUUCUCCCCCAAAACUCACAUUUCCACCCCAAAUGUGAUCGAUUUCAGCACCUCUUUGAUCGAUUUCAUUCCCCAAAUGAGUUUCUAGUACUGAUUUUGAUUUCUUCACUGAAAUAGCUAUCAAUUUUAUCUUAUAAUUGAAACAAAAUCAACUCUGAUCGAUGUCAUUCCCAAAAUGGGUUUCUAGUACUGAUUUUGAUUUCUUAUUUGAAAUAUCUACCGAUUUUGUCUUGCAAGUGAAACAAAAUCAACCCUCUGAUCGAUUUCAUUCCCCAAAUGGGUUUCUAAAACAAGGACGGUUUUUCAUCCCGUCAAGUUUUAAGUUGCCUAUCUCAGUUGACAUAUAUGUUCUGGGUUCAAGGCUAUAAGCUUAGUGAAGCUUUCGACUUACUCAUGAGCAAAUGCUCCUGCUUUCCAAAACUAUAUGCCAUCAAAAGUGCCACAGAAGACAUCCCAAGUGAUGCAGCUAGUGGACCCAUUUCGCCCAUGGAUGCAAGGAGAUCACACGAUGAUAAUGAUCCUAAUGACAUUCUUUGAUUUCGCUGCAUUUGUCUUGGAUAUUCAAUUAUGAUGAUGUAAUUGUGUGGUUGUAGUGGAUCUUAGAAUAUUGAAGCUUUUGUGUUUAAAUUCAAUGUUGAAAAUUUGUAGUUUGAAGAUGUUAAUGUUGAAAUUUAAUUUUGAAGUGUAACUUUCAAUGUAUUUUUGAUAUACUUGUCAAUUAUAAUGUUUAAU